rnacentral:rRNA from 1 species
UACGUAGGGACCAAGCGUUGUCCGGAAUCAUUGGGCGUAAAGAGCGUGCAGGCGGCUUGUUAAGUCUUGCGUGAAAUCUCGGGGCUCAACCCCGAGCGGUCGUGAGAAACUGGCAGGCUAGAGUGCGGGAGAGGAGAGUGGAAUUCCUGGUGUAGCGGUGAAAUGCGCAGAUAUCAGGAAGAACACCCGUGGCGAAGGCGGCUCUCUGGGACGGUACUGACGCUGAGACGCGAAAGCGUGGGGAGCGAACAGG